rnacentral:lncRNA from 1 species
CAGUGUGGAGCUGUCAUCCCACUUUUCAUUACGGUCAUCAUCGCUGCCCUGGCUGGGGCACCAGGGCUGCUGUCACUCACCAGGCCUGGCCUAGGGGCAAUGGAGUGAGGCCUUGUCUCUAAGAAGCAUCUGCAUGACAGAAAACAUUUCUAUACUAUACGUCUGAUAAUGCAUUAAUAUCACAAAUGUAUAAAAACUCAAACAGUCCAACAGCAAGAAAACAAAUACUAUAAAAUAUUAGCAAAGGACUUGAUAUAGACAUUUCUCAAAGAAGACAUGCAUAUGAGCAAAAAGUACAUGAACAAAAGCCCAAGUUCAAUAAUCAUCAGAGAAAUGCAAAUUAAAACCAGAAUGAGAUGUCACCUCACAUCUGUUAGAAUAGCUAUUUCAAAAAGUUUGAAGUGCACUGAGUCUGGAUCUUUAGUAUCUUUAUUUCACUACUUCUUCUAAUGUAAGGAUUUGGUUUGUUAGUCUUUGAUGUGUCUUUUUUUUUGAGAUGGAGUCUCACUCUGUUGCCCAGGCUGGAGUGCAGUGGCGCGAUCUUGGCUCACUGCAACCUCCAACUCCUGGGUUCAAGCGAUUCUCCUGCCUCAACCUCCCGAGUAGCUAGGACUACAGACACGCACCACCACGCCCAGCUAACUUUUGUAUUUUUACUAGAGAUGGGGUUUCACCAUGCUGGCCAGGAUGGUCUGAAUCUCUUGACCUCAUGAUCUGCCCACCUUGGCCUCCCAAAGUGUUGGGAUUACAGGUGUGAGCCACCACGCCCGGCCUCAAUGUGUCUUUUUAUGGUUUUCAGUAAAGUUUUAUGGUUUCACAUAGGCCUGGGAAUGUCUUCUAAGUCGAUUUCAUGGCACGUUUGCUAAUGUGGAUGGAGGCUGACUCUUUGUUAUUGUUACUGUAUGUUUAUUAUUAGUAUGAAAGAUUCAAGAUUUAUUAUAUAUACAAUGUGCAUUUGCUCAAUUUCCUGAAUGUUGUUAAACAGUUUUUGUUCUGAAAGUUGAAAUCGAUUACCCUGCUUUUCUAUUUGUACUCAUGGCCUCUGUGGAUAACUACAGUUCAAAUUCUUUGACUUACAUUCUUUCCUGUUUCCUCCUCUUCUCUCUUCUGGUCCAGACUCAGGCAUCCCUCACAGUGAUAAAUGGGAGAGGCCUUGCCGGCCCUUGUCUUAGACUUUUCUUUAUUGAAACACUUCUGAUGUUUGCUGUUGAUUAUGAUGUUUGCACAAAUAUCUUUGCUUAAUAAGAAUUUUAUUUUUGCCUUUUCCCUUCCUUCCCUCCCUUCCUUCCUUCCUUCCUUCCUUCCUUCCUUCCUUCCUUCCUUCCUUCCUUUCAAAGCAUGAUCUCUGAUGUUUCUUAGGCUGGAGUGCAGUAGCUAGUCACAGAUGGAAUCAUAGCUCACUGCAGCCUCAAACUCCUGGGCUCAAGCAAUUCUCUCACCUCAGCCUCCUGAGUAGCUGGAACUGCAGUCAUGUGCCACCAUUCCCAGCCAGAAGUUUCUAUUAUCCUAUUUGGUAUUCUUAAUCAUCACAUAUUUUAUUCAAGGAUAUACUAAAGUGAUUACAUAUUUUUUCUACUGUAGUCUUUUGAUCAAAUAAAGAACCUAAAUAAUUUAUUUUUUGAGACAGAGUCUUGCUCUGUCACCCAGGCCGCAGUGCAGUGGUGCCAUCACAGCUCACUGCAACCUCUGCCUCCUGGGUUCAAGCAAUUAUCCUGCCUUAGCCUCCUGAGUAGCUGGGACUACAGGCGUGUGCCACCACACCUUGCUAAUUUUUGUCUUUUUAGUAGAGACGGGGUUUCACCAUGUUGGUCAGGUUGGUCUCAAACUCCCGACCUCAGGUGAUCUGCCCACCUUGGCCUCCCAAAGCAUUGGGAUUAUAGGCGUGAGCCACUGUGCCCAGCCUUGAUUUUAUUUUUAAUAGUAAAAUGUACUUGAAUAGUUUUUGGCGUAAUCUGGUAGUAGAAAUACACAAGAUAUCACCAUUAGAUACUGCUAAUCAAACACUUAAAAGGUGCAAGUAUCCAGGUGAUUUUGUAUACAAUCUGGGUCUUUUUGUCAGACUAACGAGUAUAAUGAGAUUUGAUAUUUGCUUCUGAUGUUGCUGGACAAACUGGGUAAAGAAAAGGAUUAAGUCAGGGAUUCCAAGUUUUUAAUACAAGUACUGCAUUAAUAUCCUAAAAAUUUAUAUGUAGCCCUGAAGAAGAUACUUAACUCCUGCAGCUUCAGGGCUCAAAAUGCUGAAAAGAAAUCAUAGCAUCUCAUCCCAUAACUGGCUGAAUUACAACAAAAAUUAAAUUCCCAGGCUUGCAGGAUGCCUACUUUUAAAGUGGGGGUAUUCAUUCAGAAAACAUUGGAUAUUAAAAAGUUAAAAUGAGGGCCAGGUGCGGUGGCUCACACCUGUAAUCCCAGCAUUUUGGGAGGCUGAGGUGGGAGGAUCACCUGAGGUUGGGAGUUCGAGACCAGCCUGGCCAACAUGGAGAAACCCCUUCUCUACUAAAAAUACAAAAUUAGCUGGGUGUAGUGGUGCAUGUCUGUAAUCCCAGCUACUCAGGAGGCUGAGGCAGGAGAAUCACUUGAAGCCGGGAGGUGGAGGUUUCGGUGAGCCGAGAUCGCACCAUUGCACUCCAGCCCCUGGGCAACAAGAGUG